UGGGGAAUAUUGGACAAUGGGGGCAACCCUGAUCCAGCAAUGCCGCGUGUGUGAAGAAGGUCUUCGGAUUGUAAAGCACUUUCGACGGGGACGAUGAUGACGGUACCCGUAGAAGAAGCCCCGGCUAACUUCGUGCCAGCAGCCGCGGUAAUACGAAGGGGGCUAGCGUUGCUCGGAAUGACUGGGCGUAAAGGGCGUGUAGGCGGUUUACACAGUCAGAUGUGAAAUCCCCGGGCUUAACCUGGGAGCUGCAUUUGAUACGUGUAGACUAGAGUGUGAGAGAGGGUUGUGGAAUUCCCAGUGUAGAGGUGAAAUUCGUAGAUAUUGGGAAGAACACCGGUGGCGAAGGCGGCAACCUGGCUCAUGACUGACGCUGAGGCGCGAAAGCGUGGGGAGCAAACAGGAUUAGAUACCCUGGUAGUCCACGCUGUAAACGAUGUGUGCUAGAUGUUGGGUAACUUUGUUAUUCAGUGUCGCAGUUAACGCGUUAAGCACAC
rnacentral:rRNA from 1 species